ACAGAGAAUGAGGGAAACGUCACCUUACAGGAAUAAAAGGUCAUACACAGCUUGGAAGCCAGUGAAAAGUGAGCCUCACGCCAGUUUCGCUUUUAAACCCCACCAACUCCUUACUUUUCCAAAGUCCAAUUAACCCUAAGCUCCCACUUCUGCCCUCAAGGCCACAAUUCUCUCUGGGCUUCACUGGUCUUCACACCAAGUUGAACAAAACUCAUAUACCAUGGGAAGCAAGAAGGCACCAAGCUGGGCUGAUCAAUGGGGCACAGACGGUUCUGGUGACAAAGAUCGUGAUGACAAGCUCAUGAACAAGGUAGGGAACGGCAGCAGCAGCAAGAUGGUGGAGGCCAAGGCCGCCACUUCAGCUGGACUUGUCAAGGCCAAGGCAGCUGCAGCAGUGGGCGCCCAAAAGGUGAAGAGCGGAACCUCGGCGGGGAUUAAAUGGGUCAAGAAUCAGUGCCAGAAAAAGGCCUCUAAAUAAUCAAGAUUUCUCUUUGGAUGAAUGAAGACUUGAGGCCAAGACUUUUAUCAUUUGAUUAACUUUUUUCCUUACACUGCAGUAUUAUUAUCUUGCUUUAUCAAUGGACGUUAUGAAUAUUGUGCAA